rnacentral:rRNA from 1 species
AUUGAACGCUGGCGGAAUGCUUUACACAUGCAAGUCGAACGAUGAACCUUAGCUUGCUAAGGGGAUUAGUGGCGAACGGGUGAGUAAUGUAUCGGAACGUAUCCAAUAAUGGGGGAUAGCUAGUCGAAAGAUUAGCUAAUACCGCAUACGUCCUACGGGAGAAAGCUAGGGACCUUCGGGCCUGGCGUUAAUGGAGCGGCCGAUAUCUGAUUAGCUAGUUGGUGGGGUAAAGGCUCACCAAGGCGACGAUCAGUAGCUGGUCUGAGAGGACGACCAGCCACACUGGAACUGAGACACGGUCCAGACUCCUACGGGAGGCAGCAGUGGGGAAUUUUGGACAAUGGGCGAAAGCCUGAUCCAGCCAUUCCGCGUGAGCGAAGAAGGCCUUCGGGUUGUAAAGCUCUUUCGCAAGAGAAGAAAACUUAAGCUCUAACAUAGCUUGAGGUUGACGGUACCUUGAUAAGAAGCACCGGCUAACUACGUGCCAGCCGCCGCCGUAA